ACAGGAGGAGCCCAAUCUCCGGGGACGCUGGGCUGCUGCAGCACUGUUGGAGGGAUGCACUCAGUAUUGUAAACGAGGCCACGCCCCUUUAACCGAGGCCACGCCCCCCUUUUCCACCCGCGGACGGCACAAGGGGGAUAACGGUACAGUCCGGAUGUCACCAAGUCCAGGUGACGCCUCUGACCAGGAGAACACCAUCAUGAGAACACCUCCAUCGGGGAAUGGGUUUCAGAGAAGACUCCAAGGUAUGGCUCAUCAGCGUAUACCUGAUAAGGAGCAAUUGUGUCGUGACAAUAAGGAGACACUAUGAGCCUAAUUCAGACCUGAUCGCAACUCUGCCUGCAGACGCCAUCUUGCAGACUCACUCCUGCCUACACCGAGCCUUUUCCCUCCAGCCAUCGGAGGCCAUUACCUCCCGGCCAGCUAACUACCUCUCCGUCGAUAGGAGCAGUGAAAAGUGGGGUUGGACUAUCUAUUCCUACCCUCUACAUUGAUGACACAGGUGCUAGAUGCAAGUAUCAAUCCAAUUUCAGUAUCGGACCAUGCCCCCAUCUAGGUAUCUUUACAAAACCUUAGUAAUUCAGGCACAUAUAAACAUUGGCGCUUCUCUACCUCCUUGGCAGGAUCUCAAAAAUGUAAAGACAUGUUGAUAGUUGCAUGGGAUGAUUUUGCCUUUAUUAAA